rnacentral:rRNA from 1 species
UACGGGGGGAGCAAGUGUUGUUCGGAUUUACUGGGCGUAAGGGGCGCGUAGGCGGCCAGCACAAGUCAGUUGUGAAAUCUCCGAGCUUAACUCGGAAAGGUCAACUGAUACUGUGCGGCUAGAGUGCGGAAGGGGCAACUGGAAUUCUUGGUGUAGCGGUGAAAUGCGUAGAUAUCAAGAGGAACACCUGCGGCGAAGGCGGGUUGCUGGGCCGACACUGACGCUGAGGCGCGAAAGUGUGGGGAGCGAACAGG